UUAGAUGUACUUCCUCCCGAUUUUCUUCAAUACUUGUGUUAAUAAUGAGUACUCUGUCUCUAGAAAAGGCUUUUUUGUAGAGUCUGCCCCCAGCCUCUGCUUUGUAGCAAGCUACAGGGAAAAUACAGAUUCAGUCUUCAUGGAUUCUCGACCUCAAAGGGAGAAAUAAAUAGCUCCUUAAACCGGAGGAAGGAUGUCCCACUGAUCGUCUCUCAGCGGGUCACAGCAUAAGCUGCUCCCUCUUUAUCCCUCUGAUGAGGCCAUAUACCACUCGCUGCAUUCACUCUUUCCUUUGCCAGGUCACGUUUGAUUUUCUCCUCUUGAUCAGGGCUCAGAACAGUCCCAGUCCCGGCCAGCUCCUCACUCCCUUUCCAGAGCUGGGGGCUGCUGGGCAGAGUGACACUUGCAGCCCCGUGACCUCCAUGGCCGCCUCAUCUCCGCUGUGGCACCUGUGGCAGUAUCGGCCACAAAGGGAUUUUCUUUAUUGCAUUAAGCUUGCAGAGAGAAGAUUUAGUAGGUGUGUCGCAGUGGCAUUAGCCUCCUGUGACCCAGUGUCUCAGCAAAUCCUUCCCUGGCUGUGUAGAAUUUGUUUUAGUUUGAGCAAAUUUGUCUUCAUUAGAUCCAUUUUGAGGGAAACUGUUGUCUCUACCCAUGGGCCCAUCUUAUAAAUUCUAGGUGGCUGGACCUACUGCUGGUAUUUGAAUCAUUAUGUCAGUCUUGAGUAACAUCCCAUCUGGCAAUGGGAAAUUCAAAAAUACAAUUAAUUGAGUUUCCUUAUAUCAGAUGGUUGUGAAACCCUUUUUAACAAACUUUCACACAGAAACAGAAGUUUUAUGCUUGUGGUAAUAAUGUUCAUAAAAAAAAUGUUUUGGUGUGCUUUGUGCAAAAUAACAUUUCAACUUUUGGAGGACAACCACAAAAUCUAUUAAAAAAAUAAAUGUUGGCAGACACACAGGCAAAGGACAUCUAUCAAAGUUUGUUGAUGUUUGUCUGCAGUGCGGACCAGUUAACAAAUUCUUUCCCUGUGCGAACGAGCAGCAUCUUGUCACAACACUUCAAAAUCUUUAAAUAACUUAAAGAUUCUUUUCUUUGAUGUGAAGUGCACUGUGCAACACCUUAGUGCCAGGGAUGAUAGUUAAUUAUUAUCUUUAUUAGAGGCGUGGCCUGAUUUAAAUAUCUGUAUAAAAUGUCUCAUCUGUGGCACACUGAUACCUCUUGAGCAUUGAGUACCUGUUGUGCAUGAGCCACCUUUAGCUGGGGCAUGUUCAAAAUGAAGAACAGAAAAUAUUUUGCCAUCCUUCAGCUCUUAAAUGGAGCUUGCUGAAAUGUCAUUGGAAAAGUGGGAAGAGUCUGAGCCUGGCUUGGGAAAAUAGUAAACAAAAUAGCAUUUUUAGGUGAGGUGCAAGUAAGGUUUGCCUGUACAAGUAGAAAAGUGAAACCUGCUAGUUUAGACCAGCAGGUUGCCUUCUGCCAAAUUCCAGAUGACAGUGACUAGAAGUGACUUGGUCUGGAUCUUGGUCUUUCUGGUGUGAAAAUCCCUGUUUCAGCUGUGUCUGCAGGGUAUUUUGGGGGAGGGAAUUGCUCAGUCAAAAAGUCGUACAUAGAAUGGUUUGGGUUGGAGGUGGCCUUAAAGAUCAUCUGGUCUUCUGCCAUGGGCAGGGACACCUUUCACUGACCAAGUUGCUUAAAGCCCCAUCCAACCUGACCAUGAAUGCUGCCAUGGAUGGGGCAUGCACAACGUUCUGGGCAACCUAUGCCAGUGCCUCAUCAUACUCAAGAUUUUUUUUCUAAUAUAUCAUGCCCGUGUUACUGGAUUCUAAACAAAUACAUAGGAGAGCUUUCUAGUUUCUUUGGAAAAAUGAUCAGAGGAAGAAAUACCAAUGUUUUGGGUAGAUGGGUGCACUGCAGUAAUACCUGCUGCCCAUUACUGAGGUCCGAGGCCCAGCCACUGUCUUUGCUUUAAGGUGUUCACAGACCUUUCGUAGACUUGGCAUGCAUUAGAUAUUGGAUAAAAUGUGAACCUUAAGUGAAAGGAUGUACUGCUGAGAUAACCUUUAAUUGCCAGAUAUGGGAAGGAUUUAAGACCUGUUUCCAGCAUUUUCUUUUUCUUAUACCAAAUGUAAAAAGCUUUCCAGUUAGCUUGACAGUUUUGGAGGGGGCUUGCUCUGAAGUUUACGUUCUCCUUGUUUGUUGCUUAGGAAGAAUAAGUGCAUAUUUUUUUGUCUGUGGAUGCCUGUUGAUGGAAUUUGAUGCUGUUUAACUGAGAUAAUAAAAGGGUCAAAUAAUUUUGUGAAUUGUUAAGUAUCAUUUCAUCUUUAGUACAGUGACUGUGGUCCCUGGGGUUGAAGAACAGUGAUUGUUAUGGUUCUUUUACCAUCUGGCUCUGUGACAAGAAUACCCGAUCUUGUGUUGCUCUACAUGAUGAAAAAAUAGAUAAAUAAAUAGGAUUUAUGAGUUUUCUUUACAAGGCUUUUCCACAGGGCAAUUGAUUUUAUUUUAGUCUGUACAAGACAGACCAAGACAAGAAAAAAAAAUCAUAUUUCUCUCUCUUGCUUUCCCAGGACCGAUGUAAAUGAAAGAAGACUGAUAUGUACUUACAGAUCUUUAAAAAUGCUUUAGCAGUUUUUCUUUGGCUUUCUGAAGAGAAGAUUCUAUAUUGUUAAUUCUGAAGAAGGAAAUUUUUUUUUUCGGUAAUUUUGAAUGCCCUUGAACCCUCUUAUGCAGAAUUCUGUAAUUCUUCAUGACAAGUACCCUGCACAAGGCUUUUUGGGGUGGGAACCUUCCUUUUUAAUUAGGUUGCAGAUAAAGGUUCAGCUUAGUCAUGUUAGCAGUAGAAGUUUCUUCAGUGACUUUUCCCAUCAAUUGUAUACUUUAUGUCAAGGUCAAAAGUAUCACUGCUCUUCAAAAAGUAUCUCAUAACCCUUUUUGUUUUUUUGGUUUUUUUAAGGAAGCAGUAAACUCCCAAGAGUCUUAUACAAAAGAUUAAAUUGGUAGCAUCAGAAAUUCAAGAUAAAUCAAAAGGCUUUUUGUAAAUGUGAAGACAUUCUAUUUAAUACUAAGCUGUUUUCCACUUUUCAUGAUAAGGCAAAUGCAAAAUUAAGUACCAGAAGUCAAGAUCAGACACAUUUUGAAGGUUUGUUUGUUUUUAAAGUGUAUUCCUCUUCCUAGGAGAAUAUACUUCAGGUAAAUAUUGGAUCUGUCUGUAAACCAGAAAAUCAACUUCUCAUGUUACUUAAAAGGUGCCUUUGUAGUAAGGGCAAUAUAAUAUCAUUAAAAUAGUGUUUUCCAUGAAGAGAUAUGCAAUGUCAUGCUAUAUUUAACUACUUUGUAAGAGGCAAGCUGUUGU